AGAUUGAACGCUGGCGGCAUGCCUUACACAUGCAAGUCGAACGGUAACAGGUUAAGCUGACGAGUGGCGAACGGGUGAGUAAUAUAUCGGAACGUGCCCAGUAGUGGGGGAUAGCCCGGCGAAAGCCGGAUUAAUACCGCAUACGACCUACGGGUGAAAGCGGGGGAUCGCAAGACCUCGCGCUAUUGGAGCGGCCGAUAUCAGAUUAGCUUGUUGGUGGGGUAAAAGCCCACCAAGGCGACGAUCUGUAGCUGGUCUGAGAGGACGACCAGCCACACUGGGACUGAGACACGGCCCAGACUCCUACGGGAGGCAGCAGUGGGGAAUUUUGGACAAUGGACGAAAGUCUGAUCCAGCCAUGCCGCGUGCGGGAAGAAGGCCUUCGGUUGUAAACGCUUUGUCAGGGAGAAAGUCUCGGGUUAAUACCUUGGGAUGAUGACGGUACCUGAAGAAUAAGCACCGGCUAACUACGUGCCAGCAGCCGCGGU
rnacentral:rRNA from 1 species